CACAGAAUUCGGGAUUUAAUAACAUCAUAACCAGAACAAUGUCGUCUGUCCGGAUAUUGGUUGUCCUCAUGGUUGUGUGCAUCCUCUCAGGGAGUUUAGUGCAGAAGGCAGAAGCAUGGUGUCGUUGCGCGGAAAUCUGUAGCAAGUCAGAAUGUUGGGUAGCAAGAUGUGGAUGGUGGGGUUGGAUUUGCUGCCACUUCCAGAGCCCUGUGUGUGAUUACAGAAUUGGGUAAUCAAGUUUAGGAACAUGCAGUCAAAAUAAAAGACUUGAAACUUGUAUGCG